rnacentral:rRNA from 1 species
UACGUAGGUUGCGAGCGUUGUCCGGAUUUACUGGGCGUAAAGCGCGCGCAGGCGGUUUCGAAAGUCCACGGUGAAAGCUCCCGGCCCAACUGGGAGAGGCCCGUGGAAACUCCGGAACUUGAAGGCAGGAGAGGCAAAUGGAAUUUCCGGUGUAGCGGUAAAAUGCGUAGAUACCGGAAGGAACACCAGUGGCGAAGGCGAUUUGCUGGCCUGUUCUUGACGCUCAGGCGCGAAAGCUAGGGGAGCGACCGGG